AACGAACGCUGGCGGCAGGCCUAACACAUGCAAGUCGAACGCUGUAGCAAUACAGAGUGGCAGACGGGUGAGUAACGCGUGGGAACAUUCCUAGUGGUACGGAAUAGCUCAGGGAAACUUGGGGUAAUACCGUAUAAGCCCUUACGGGGAAAGAUUUAUCGCCAUUAGAUUGGCCCGCGUUGGAUUAGCUAGUUGGUGAGGUAACGGCUCACCAAGGCGACGAUCCAUAGCUGGUUUGAGAGAAUGACCAGCCACACUGGGACUGAGACGCGGCCCAGACUCCUACGGGAGGCAGCAGUGGGGAAUCUUGGACAAUGGGCGCAAGCCUGAUCCAGCCAUGCCGCGUGAGUGACGAAGGCCUUCGGGUUGUAAAGCUCUUUUGACGGGGACGAUAAUGACGGUACCCGUAGAAUAAGUCCCGGCUAACUUCGUGCCAGCCGCCGCAGUAA
rnacentral:rRNA from 1 species